rnacentral:tRNA from 1 species
GUCUCUGUGGCGCAAUUGGUUAGCGCGUUCGACUGUUAAUCAAAUGGUUGGUGGUUCAAGCCCACCCAGGGACG